rnacentral:tRNA from 1 species
AUAGCUCAGUGGUAGAGCCCCCGCUUCGAAUGCGGGCAGGCUCGGGUUGUAUUCCCCGAU